rnacentral:rRNA from 1 species
AUUGAACGCUGGCGGCAUGCUUUACACAUGCAAGUCGAACGGCAGCGCGGGCUUCGGCCUGGCGGCGCGUGGCGAACGGGUGGGUAAUGCAUCGGAACGUGCCCAGUAGUGGGGGAUAGCCCGGCUAAAGCCGGCUUAAUACCGCAUACGCCCUGAGGGUGAAAGCGGGGGACCGAAAGGCCUCGCGCUUUUGGAGCGGCCGAUGUCGGAUUAGCUAGUUGGUUGGGUAAAGGCUUACCAAGGCGACGAUCCGUAGCUGGUCUGAGAGGCCGACCAGCCACACUGGAACUGAGACACGGCCCAGACUCCUACGGGAGGCAGCAGUGGGGAAUUUUGGACAAUGGGGGCAAGCCUGAUCCAGCCACGCCGCGUGAGGGAAGAAGGCCUUCGGGUUGUAAACCGCUUUUGUUCGGGAAGAAAACCUGUGUGCUAAUACCCCGGGGGGAUGACGGUACCGGAAGAAUAAGCACCGGCUAACUACGUG